AACGAACGCUGGCGGCAGGCUUAACACAUGCAAGUCGAACGCCCCGCAAGGGGAGUGGCAGACGGGUGAGUAACGCGUGGGAAUCUACCCAGUUCUACGGAACAACACAGGGAAACUUGUGCUAAUACCGUAUACGCCCUACGGGGGAAAGAUUUAUCGGAAUUGGAUGAGCCCGCGCUGGAUUAGCUAGUUGGUGGGGUAAUGGCCUACCAAGGCGACGAUCCAUAGCUGGUCUGAGAGGAUGAUCAGCCACACUGGGACUGAGACACGGCCCAGACUCCUACGGGAGGCAGCAGUGGGGAAUAUUGGACAAUGGGCGCAAGCCUGAUCCAGCCAUGCCGCGUGAGUGAUGAAGGCCUUAGGGUUGCAAAGCUCUUUCAGUGGGGACGAUAAUGACGGUACCCACAGAAGAAGCCCCGGCUAACUUCGUGCCAGCCGCCGCAGUAACAC
rnacentral:rRNA from 1 species